rnacentral:rRNA from 1 species
CCUACGGGAGGCUGCAGUGAGGAAUAUUGGUCAAUGGGCGAGAGCCUGAACCAGCCAAGUCGCGUGAGGGAGUACUGCCCUAUGGGUUGUAAACCUCUUUUGUCGGGUAGCAAAAGCCGGACGUGUCCGGCUGUGAGAGUACCCGAAGAAAAAGCAUCGGCUAACUCCGUGCCAGCAGCCGCGGUAAUACGGAGGAUGCGAGCGUUAUCCGGAUUUAUUGGGUUUAAAGGGUGCGCAGGCGGAUUUUUAAGUCAGCGGUAAAAUCGUGGGGCUCAACCCCAUCCAGCCGUUGAAACUGGGGAUCUAGAGUGUGCGAGAGGUAUGCGGAAUGCGUGGUGUAGCGGUGAAAUGCAUAGAUAUCACGCAGAACCCCGAUUGCGAAGGCAGCAUACCGGUGCACAACUGACGCUCAGGCACGAAAGCGUGGGUAUCGAACAGGAUUAGAUACCCCAGUAGUC